rnacentral:ncRNA from 22 species
CUCUUAUUCAGAGUGGCGGAGAGUGAAGGCUCUGUGAAGCUACGGCAACCCCUGAAAGAUGGAAGGUGCCAACCUGAGCGAAGUUUUACUUCGAGCAAUAAGAG